GCGGGUGUAGCUCAAUGGUAGAGCCACAGGUUUCCAACCUGUUGACGAGGGUUCGAUUCCCUUCACCCGCUCCA
rnacentral:tRNA from 2 species